CGCCUGGUCGGAAACCAGGCCAAUCAAAGGAG
rfam:Coriobacteriaceae bacterium KH1P3 genome assembly, contig: Ga0059117_103